CGUACACUCCUGCGGGAGGCAGCAGUGGGGAAUUUUGGACAAUGGGCGAAAGCCUGAUCCAGCCAUGCCGCGUGCAGGAUGAAGGCCUUCGGGUUGUAAACUGCUUUUGUACGGAACGAAACGGCCUUUUCUAAUAAAGAGGGCUAAUGACGGUACCGUAAGAAUAAGCACCGGCUAACUACGUGCCAGCAGCCGCGGUAAUACGUAGGGUGCAAGCGUUAAUCGGAAUUACUGGGCGUAAAGCGUGCGCAGGCGGUUAUGUAAGACAGUUGUGAAAUCCCCGGGCUCAACCUGGGAACUGCAUCUGUGACUGCAUAGCUAGAGUACGGUAGAGGGGGAUGGAAUUCCGCGUGUAGCAGUGAAAUGCGUAGAUAUGCGGAGGAACACCGAUGGCGAAGGCAAUCCCCUGGACCUGUACUGACGCUCAUGCACGAAAGCGUGGGGAGCAAACAGGAUUAGAUACCCGGGUAGUCCC
rnacentral:rRNA from 1 species